UUGACCUCAAAUCGGGUGAGACUACCCGCUGAACUUAAGCAUAUCAAUAAGCGGAGGAAAAGAAACUAACAAGGAUUCCCCUAGUAACUGCGAGUGAAGCGGGAAAAGCUCAAAUUUAAAAUCUGGUGGUCUUUGGCCAUCCGAGUUGUAAUUUAGAGAAGCG
rnacentral:rRNA from 1 species